rnacentral:rRNA from 1 species
UACGUAGGGUGCAAGCGUUAAUCGGAAUUACUGGGCGUAAAGCGUGCGCAGGCGGUUAUGCAAGACAGAGGUGAAAUCCCCGGGCUCAACCUGGGAAUGGCAUUUGGGACUGCAAGGCUCGAGUGCGGCAGAGGAGACUGGAAUUCCUGGUGUAGCAGUGAAAUGCGUAGAUAUCAGGAGGAACACCGAUGGCGAAGGCAGGUCUCUGGGCUGACACUGACGCUCAUGCACGAAAGCGUGGGGAGCAAACAGG